rnacentral:rRNA from 1 species
UAGAGAUAGAGCUUUCCCUUCGGGGACAAAGUGACAGGUGGUGCAUGGUUGUCGUCAGCUCGUGUCGUGAGAUGUUGGGUUAAGUCCCGCAACGAGCGCAACCCUUAUUGUUAGUUGCCAUCAUUUAGUUGGGCACUCUAGCGAGACUGCCGGUGACAAACCGGAGGAAGGUGGGGAUGACGUCAAAUCAUCAUGCCCCUUAUGACCUGGGCUACACACGUGCUACAAUGGGAAGUACAACGAGUCGCUAGACCGCGAGGUCAUGCAAAUCUCUUAAAGCUUCUCUCAGUUCGGAUUGCAGGCUGCAACUCGCCUGCAUGAAGCCGGAAUCGCUAGUAAUCGCGGAUCAGCACGCCGCGGUGAAUACGUUCCCGGGCCUUGUACACACCGCCCGUCACACCACGAGAGUUUGUAACACCCGAAGUCGGUGAGGUAACCUUUUUGGAGCCAGCCGCCUAAGGUGGGAUAGAUGAUUGGGGUGAAGUCGUAACAAGGUAGCCGUAUCGGAAGGUGCGGCUGGAUCACCUCCUUU